GCGGACGACCAGCCUCACUGGAACUGAGACACGGUCCAGACACCUACGGGUGGCAGCAGUCGAGAAUUUUUCUCAAUGGGGGAAACCCUGAAGGAGCGACGCCGCGUGGGGGAUGAAUGGCUUCGGCCCGUAAACCCCUGUCAUUUGCGAACAAUCCCGUUUGUUUAAUAAACAAACGGUUGCUAGUAGCGAAAGAGGAAGGGACGGCUAACUCUGUGCCAGCAGCCGCGGUAAUACAGAGGUCCCAAGCGUUGUUCGGAUUCACUGGGCGUAAAGGGUGCGUAGGUGGCCAGGUAAGUUUGAUGUGAAAUCUCCGAGCUUAACUCGGAAAGUGCAUUGAAUACUAUCUGGCUCGAGGGUUGGAGGGGAGACUGGAAUUCUCGGUGUAGCAGUGAAAUGCGUAGAUAUCGAGAGGAACACCAGUGGCGAAGGCGAGUCUCUGGACAACACCUGACACUGAGGCACGAAAGCUAGGGGAGCAAACAGGAUUAGAUACCCUGGUAGUCCUAGCUGUAAACGGUGCACAUUUGCUGUAAGAGGAAUCGACCCCUUUUGUGGCGAAGCUAACGCGUUAAAUGUGCCGCCUGGGGAGUACGGUCGCAAGAUUAAAACUCAAAGAAAUUGACGGGGGCCUGCACAAGCGGUGGAGUAUGUGGCUUAAUUCGAUCAACGCGAAGAACCUUACCUGGCCUUGACAUGUACGUAGUAGAAGGAUGAAAGUCUGACGAGUGUAGCAAUACACAGCGUACACAGGUGCUGCAUGGCUGUCGUCAGCUCGUGUCGUGGGAUGUUGGGUUAAGUCCCGCAACGAGCGCAACCCCUGUGUCCAGUUGCCACCCAGACGAGAGUUUGGAGCACUCUGGACAGACUGCCUCGCUUAAACGAGGAGGAAGGUGGGGAUGACGUCAAGUCAGUAUGGCCCUUACGGCCAGGGCUGCACACGUACUACAAUGCCCGGCACAGAGGGAAGCAAGACCGCAAGGUGGAGCAAAUCCCAGAAAACCGGGCCCAGUUCAGAUUGUCGGCUGCAACUCGCCGACAUGAAGCUGGAAUCGCUAGUAAUGGCGCAUCAGCUACGGCGCCGUGAAUACGUUCCCAGGCCUUGUACACACCGCCCGUCACAUCAUGAAAGCCGUUUGUACCCGAAGUCGCCGUGUUAACCGCAAGGAGACAGGCGCCGAAGGUAUGGAUGGUGAUUGGGAUGAAGUCGUAACAAGGUA
rnacentral:rRNA from 1 species